AGGACGAACGCUGGCGGCGUGCUUAACACAUGCAAGUCGAACGGAAAGGCCCGCUUGCGGGUACUCGAGUGGCGAACGGGUGAGUAACACGUGGGCAACCUGCCCUCAGCUCUGGGAUAACUCCGGGAAACCGGUGCUAAUACUGGAUAUCGACUUCUGCCUCGCAUGGGGUGUUGUUGAAAGUUUUUCGGCUGGGGAUGGGCCCGCGGCCUAUCAGCUUGUUGGUGGGGUGAUGGCCUACCAAGGCGACGACGGGUAGCCGGCCUGAGAGGGCGACCGGCCACACUGGGACUGAGACACGGCCCAGACUCCUACGGGAGGCAGCAGUGGGGAAUAUUGCGCAAUGGGCGGAAGCCUGACGCAGCGACGCCGCGUGAGGGAUGACGGCCUUCGGGUUGUAAACCUCUUUCAGCAGGGACGAAGCGAAAGUGACGGUACCUGCAGAAGAAGCACCGGCCAACUACGCGCCAGCAGCCGCGGUAA
rnacentral:rRNA from 1 species